CCUGGCCAGAGCACGACAGGCUGGGAAAUGCCUCUUCCUUGAAUUCUUGUAGCCUCCUGUUGCUGUCCCGGCACCUCCUGCUAAUACUGGACGCGCGCGGAUCGGAGCAGUGGAAGCAGCCGAUAGCCCAUGGGAAGCACCGGAGGGAGCCUGACCUCACCACCGGUACUGAAACAUGGGGAGCGAGUGGGGCGCCGCUGCUCCACCUGCCUGACGCCUGAGCACACCCGGGAUGGUUUGCAAGGCAACGUGCAGCACCCUCAGCCCUGGUGAGAGGGAAUCGCGUUCAGGAUGGACAAAACAGGAAGAAAAGGGAACUCAGGGUCCAGGUACGCUGCCGCGGCCCCACCUCCAGCCACCCCUCACUUAACUCAGCGUGCUCACAGGACUAAUAAAACCACAAGGACUCUUUUUUUUUUUUUCUUAGUUAACGAUUUAAUAUAUUUUUUCUUUAAAAAUAAAACCUAAGCUCGCCGGGUUAAAGAUCAGUAGAUUUAUUUAAGUGCUUUGUAAGGUCGUAGCCGCGAAGCCACGCUGUGCGUUGAGGAUCAGUAGUACCGGUGCGGGGCGGGGGAGAAGGCAUCACUGCAUGUAGGCGUAGCGCCAGUCCGUCAGCGGCACGUGCGUUUCUUU